rnacentral:rRNA from 1 species
AACGAACGCUGGCGGGAGGCUUAACACAUGCAAGUCGAGGGGGAGGGCAGCAAUGCCCGAGACCGGCGCACGGGUGAGUAACGCGUAUGCAACCUACCUUCUACAGGGGGAUAGCCCAGGGAAACUUGGAUUAAUACCGCAUAGUUCCCAGAACCUGCAUAGGCUUUUGGAUAAAGAUUUAUCGGUAGAAGAUGGGCAUGCGUGACAUUAGGUAGUUGGCGGGGUAACGGCCCACCAAGCCGACGACGUCUAGGGGUUCUGAGAGGAUGAUCCCCCACACUGGUACUGAGACACGGACCAGACUCCUACGGGAGGCAGCAGUGAGGAAUAUUGGUCAAUGGGCGCAAGCCUGAACCAGCCAUCCCGCGUGAAGGAUGAAGGCCCUAUGGGUCGUAAACUUCUUUUAUAUGCCAAGAAAGGUGCCCACGUGUGGGUAUUUGACGGUAGUAUAUGAAUAAGCAUCGGCUAACUCCGUGCCAGCAGCCGCAGUAAUAC